CACGUAGGGGGCAAGCGUUGUCCGGAUUUAUUGGGCGUAAAGAGCUCGUAGGCGGUUCGGUAAGUCGGGUGUGAAACCUCCAGGCUCAACCUGGAGACGCCACCUGAUACUGCUGUGACUCGAGUCCGGUAGGGGAGCGUGGAAUUCCUGGUGUAGCGGUGAAAUGCGCAGAUAUCGGGAAGAACACCUAUGGCGAAGGCAGCUCUCUGGGACGGUACUGACGCUGAGACGCGAAAGCGUGGGGAGCAAACAGG
rnacentral:rRNA from 1 species